AGAGUUUGAUCCUGGCUCAGAACGAACGCUGGCGGCAGGCUUAACACAUGCAAGUCGAGCGCCCGCAAGGGGAGCGGCAGACGAGUGAGUAACGCGUGGGAAUCUACCCAUCCCUACGGAACAACUCCGGGAAACUGGAGCUAAUACCGUAUACGCCCUUCGGGGGAAAGAUUUAUCGGGGAUGGAUGAGCCCGCGUUGGAUUAGCUAGUUGGUGGGGUAAUGGCCUACCAAGGCGACGAUCCAUAGCUGGUCUGAGAGGAUGAUCAGCCACACUGGGACUGAGACACGGCCCAGACUCCUACGGGAGGCAGCAGUGGGGAAUAUUGGACAAUGGGCGCAAGCCUGAUCCAGCCAUGCCGCGUGAGUGAUGAAGGCCCUAGGGUUGUAAAGCUCUUUCGCAGGUGAAGAUAAUGACGGUAACCUGAGAAGAAGCCCCGGCUAACUUCGUG
rnacentral:rRNA from 1 species